AUUGAACGCUGGCGGUAUGCUUAACACAUGCAAGUCGAACGGUAACAGGCCUUCGGGCGCUGACGAGUGGCGGACGGGUGAGUAACGCGUAGGAAUCUGCCUUAUAGUGGGGGACAACGUGGGGAAACCCACGCUAAUACCGCAUACGCCCUACGGGGGAAAGCGGGGGAUCGUAAGACCUCGCGCUAUGAGAUGAGCCUGCGUUAGAUUAGCUAGUUGGUAGGGUAAAGGCCUACCAAGGCGACGAUCUAUAGCUGGUCUGAGAGGACGAUCAGCCACACUGGGACUGAGACACGGCCCAGACUCCUACGGGAGGCAGCAGUGGGGAAUAUUGGACAAUGGGCGCAAGCCUGAUCCAGCAAUACCGCGUGUGUGAAGAAGGCCUUAGGGUUGUAAAGCACUUUCAAUGGGGAGGAAAACCUGCCGGUCAAUACCCGGUAGCUUGACAUUACCCAUAGAAGAAGCACCGGCUAACUCCGUGCCAGCAGCCGCGGUAAUAC
rnacentral:rRNA from 1 species